AACUAUUCAACAGGAACUAUACGUCACCAAAUCAACUAUUCGACAGGAACUAUACAUCGCCAUACCAACUAUUCUACAGGAACUACAUCACGAUACAAUCUAUUCAAUAGGAACUACAAAUCAACAUACCAUCUAUGCAGCAGAAUUAUAUAUACCCAAACAAACUAUUCAACACAAACUAUAUAUCAAGAGUCAACCUAGCAAACUUAGCUAAAACAAACAGAAACAUGAGAACCCCAAGAAACAUAUAAGCUCUAGUAGUUUGAACAUUUUCUCUUACAAAAACAAAACAUAAUCUAUAUCUAAUGUCUCACACGUCCAGCCAAUAACAUGAGAUAAUCAGUUAAACAGCUACAAAUUGUUCUAUUAUUAACAUUUUCCACUAAUUACACCUUCACCCAAUGAACCACCAUCAUCGCCGCAAGAACUGUUUCUUGCGUCCUUAAACAUGGCCAUUUCAUCCCUCACAGCAAUCAAAUUAAGUUUCAUUUCAUUCUUUGUAUCAAGGGUCUCAGUAACACUUUGGAAUCAACUUUUUUCAAUAAAGGCGUGUCACCACCAUCCACAUGAUUGUGUAUAGCAUAUCCAAUGUAAGCUGCACAAGCCAAAACCACAAAUUUCAAAGCAUUUCCUCUCAAAGCCAUCGAUGGGAGAAAGAAAGUUUCAGGGUUUAAGCUCAAGAAGAAUAGUGGGAAUUGGAAGCUAUGGUCCACUUGAAUUAUCCUUUUGACACUCACUCCGUCCCGGCCGCAUUUUCUAUUUUGGUCCGUUCGUUCUAUUUUAGGUGACUACUCACUUCAGAGCUUUUUUUUUUUUAUUUGGACAUACUUAAUAAACUACCCUUGUAAAAUUAAAGGUAACUUUUCAAAUUUAAUCUCUUUUUAAAUUGAUAUUGAUUACUAUAUUUAAAAUCAACAAUAGGGAGAUUAUAAUCAAAAUAUUAUUGAAGCAUUUAAAAAAAAUAAAAGGAGUAACUAUAAUUCAUCUUUUAACUUUAUUGAUCACACUUAAUUUUAAAAAUAAUAAUUCUUGUUCUUAUUACUUUCAUAAAAAAAAUAAAUUGAUAAACUUCAUAAAUCCUCUACUUAUUUCAUUAACAUCGUGCCUGGGUAAAAAAUCAUACACAAAAUGGGUUGAAGGGAUUAAGUCGUUUUUCGUUUUCCGAGAGUUAUUUUGACUAAUUUUCAAAGUUGAAUUAGAUUAAAUUAAUUUAAUAUUUUAAAAAUAAAAUUUAAAUAUUUAAAAACUAUAUAAAAAGUAUUAUAAGUUGUAAAUUUUCUUUUUUUAUUAAGAUAAAAAAAUAAAUAUAUCUUAAAAUAUUAAUCAAAGAUUAUAUCGUUUGACUCUAGAAAAAAAUUAUGAUGAGUAAAAAAGAGCGGAGGAUAUCGUAAACACACUAGUCCUACAUGACAUAUACGUGGCAAUUUUGUGUGAAAUUAUCAGGUAGAUGUGAUGGAAAAAUUAAUUAAGGGUGACAAAAAAAUUUCAAAAUUAAAAAAGAGCGUCACAAGUCUUAAAUAUUGCUUAGAUGUGACAAUUUUAAGAUUAGUUUUAAUGAUGCUACUUUUAAAACCCUCAAGUUUUAUUAUUUCCGCAAAAAUCUCUACUUUUUCCACCAUACCUCACCCCCUCCACACCUCUUCUAUCGCAGCCGUUACUGGCACCAUCACUCCUCUUAACACGACCCACCUAUCCCUUACACACUCUUUUUGUCGUUGUCUUCGCUGCCAUCGCCACAACCAUCUCCUCUUUCUUUACCACCACCCCAUUUCCACCUCUUAUAGAUCCACCACAAUUUCCUCUUCCUACGCAACCGUCGCCUAUUUUUCUUCUUUCUCUUCCACCAUCAUCACUAUCAACAUUACAACAACUGCGACCUUCUUCUUCGAUGUCACCACCACCACCAUCACCUCCCCUUAAUUCAUAAAUAUCACUUCUUUGUGGAUUCCUCUUCCACCAUAUAUUUUUUCAAAAAUUAAGUAAAUAUCGUAGUUGCUGCAACAAUUACCGUAACUGUUGUAGCAACUAUAGAAGUUGCUGCAGCAAAAGUCAAAAUUGUUGCAGCAAUAAUCGAAGUUGCUAUAACAAAAGUCGAAGUUGCUGCAGCAACUUCGAAAGUUGCUACAUAACAAUCAUAAUAAUUGUUGUAACACCACAAUUAAUUAUAACUGUUGCAGCAAUUAUCAAAGUUGUUGUAGUAACUAAUCGUAGUUGCUGUAGCAAUUACCAUAACUGUUGUAGCAACUAUGGUAGUUGCUGAAGCAGCUAUCGUAGUUGCUUAGUUUUCUUCAUUAUUUCUUUAAUCACUUUUUAAAAAUAAAAAAAAAUUCAAAGUUCACAAAAUUAAAAAAAUAAUUUAUAAAAAAUAAAAAAAGGAGAAGAACGAUGAUGAAAAGGGAAAGAAAAAGAAGAAAAAAAGAUGGGGGAAGAAGAAAAUCUAGAGAUAGAAAAAAGAAGAAGAAGAAGAAGAAAAUGGGGGAGAAAGAAAUUUGGAGAGAGUAAGAAAGAAAAAGAAGAAAGAUUGAAAAGAUAAGGAAAUGGGGGAAAUACUAAAAUUUGAAAUUUGGAGUGAGAGGAAAUAAUUUUUAAAAAAAUAAUAAAUUUUAAAAAAUUACACUUUACAACCUUAACAAAAUUUAAGUGAAGCUUUGACCUUAGUUGGUCAAAGUUAUCACCAUUUUUAAUUUAACAACGCUUUUCUCACCUUCCAUUCAAUUUACUCAUGUCAUAUAGAACGCAUAUAUCUACUUGUUCAAAUUUAUACAAGUUUAAUUGUUUAAUUAUGUACACUCAAAGUUGAAAAGUAUAGAGAUGAGUUAUGGUCAAUUUAAAGAGUAUGUUUAUGGAUUAUGCCUAAAAUAUAACAUAUCAGUCCUGAAGGAAAAUAAGUCAUUGUAGUAAAAUGCUAUUAUAAUAAAAGACAGUUAUACAAAGAAUUGACUGUGUUAGGAAAUAACAAUGGUAGUAGAUUGAAUUGGUGCACAUUCAACAUCAUAACUACAAACAUAAUCUAACAUCUUUCCAAUGCUUCAUUACUUGCAUCACUUCUAACUACACACCAUGUAGCCCCUUAUUGUUAACAUUACUAUAAUUAUUAACACUUCCAUGAACGUAUAUAUAGAUAGAGAGACGGAUCCAAAAAUAAAAGUCUUCACAAAAUUAUAAGAUUAUAUAUGUGGAGGCUAAAGUAUGUCUAGGGUUGAAAGGUCAAGAAAGUUGGUGGUUUGAAUUCUUAUAUACAAUUGAUAAAAUAAAAUCAGUGUUUCAGAGUCGAAUUCUACAUGAAAUAAGUUGAUGAUGUUUAAAUUUGAAUUCAUCGCCAUAAUUGUGAGAGUUGAGAAGUAAGGUAGGGAAAAAAAGAAAAGAAAUGAUUUAUUAGUGUCGACAAAGGAAAACUUUUAUAAUUAGAAGUUUGAUAAUAGUUAAAAAUAAGAAGAACAAGACAAUGAAGGAAGAAUAGAGUUGGGUGGUGAAUGACAUGUAAAGUAAGCAAAUGGAUCCAUUAUCCAAGUGUCAAAAGGUGUAUAGAGCCUCACACAACUAUAUUGAUUGUAGUAGGCCAAAAAAUAUCAUGUGAAAUUAUGCUAGAUGUAAUAUUCUUUUAUUUUUUUAUUUUUUAUGGUGUGUGCGCCCAUGUCAUCUUUCUCUCUUUUAUUUAUCUUUUCAAGUUUUUUUGGGGGGCUUAAUUCUUUUCUAUUCUUUUAGGGUUGUUUGGUAUACCAGAUAAGAAAAAUAAUGUCGCAAUAAGGUUUAGCAUUAACUUUAUUUCUUGUUGGGUAAAAUUGAAACACCUUAGUUUUGACCCUUAGAAAAUUUCUUGAGUUUCAACUUUUGGACAUCAUACGACUUGAGGAUACUUGUCGUAUGAUGUGGGUAUGGUUUAGGAUCCUCAACUCGUAUGAUAAUCAGUGUAGUUUGGUUGUUUACUGUACAUGGUACGAGAAGGCAUCAUAUUAGUCGUAUAUUAGGGUACGCGAAGUAUAGUGUCAAACCGUAUGAUGUCCUAUGUCUAGCCUAGAUGAUUCAGCCUAGGGUAUGGUUUAAGGGUUCUAAUCGUAUAUUAUGGAUACGAUUUAGCCCUUGUGGUCGUAUGUUGAACAAUGUUGGGGUCUAAGUUACUACCUAGGGUACGAGUGGUGGAUACCACUCGUAUGUUAUGGGUACGGUUUAGCUGGUGUAGUCGUACCCUCCUGCGUACCAUUUUUUAGCAUUUAAGUUGAUGGUAUUACAGACAUUUUGCACCCCAAAACCUUUAAGUUCCCACAUCUUAUAACACUUUGUGGCCUCUCAUAACAUACUUUGAAUGAUCAAAAUACUCCUAAAACUCUCUCUAAACUCUCUCUUGAAGAUUGGGCUAGGGUUUCUACAAAGUGUUCAUCUAGAGGCUCAAGAGUCAAGUUCUUUCCAUGAAUCUUCAUGAAUAAGGUAUGUGGAUCUUCCCUCAUUAUUAGUUCUCAAAUAUCAUAUGUUUUAAACAUCGUUUAUGAUUCAUUUAUGGUGGUUUUGAAAAUCAAUGUUGAGAGUUUUGUUGCAUAUUAUUAAGUAUUGUUUACUCUUGAUUUUAAUUGUAUUUAUACAUAUUUUAAUGAUGGUUUUUCACACGUGGGUGCUUGGUAAUUGUGGUUUAACAAUUGGGUCAUGUUUCACCCUAUACUUGAUGGUUCUUACCUUGAUUUUGGUCUUGAUAAUAGUAUGCCCUAAACAUGUUUGUAAAAAUGUCUAAGAGAAUAAACUAGUCACAUGUUAAAUGGUGUUUUGAACUAAGGCAUUGGCCUAAUGAAUAUGAAUGGUUGGUAACUGAUUUUGUGAAGGCCUUGUUCGCCAUUUAAUUAUUUAAAUAGUAAUCUUGGUGGUUUAAUUAUCUAAAUGGGUUUAAGUUCCUAAACAUUAAAUUGAUUUAUGUCUUCACCAGAUAAUAGGUUUGAGUCCCUAAACCUUGAAUUGAAUUAGUGUCUUUGUUAGACAAUGGGUUCGAGUCUCAAAGUCAAAUGAAUGAUUGGUUGACAGAUAAUGGUAAUGGCAUGUUGUACGCUUGCAAGUGGUGUUGGUAUGAUGAUUCCAACAAAGUGCUUGGUAAGUAAUUGGCUUAAUAGUUGUCUAUGUAAAAUGAUGGUUUUAAAUUGGGAUGUAAAUAGGGUUGUGUAGCAGAGUUGUGAAGGUGGAGGUCUCGGGGGAUCAACACUGGAAACCAUAUUUGCCAAUGCUGGGGUCAAAACAGCCCGAGGUUCUAGUCCUCUUGCUUACUAUAACUAGGAGGUUCAAGUCUCUCAUAAUAUAUGAUAUGGGAGGUUUGAGUCCCCAAUAUCAUAUUACAUGAUCGGGUGACCAAGUCACCUUAGUAUAUGAGCUAGAGGUUUGAGUCCCCCAUGAGUAUAUGUAAGAUUAUUCUUCAGUUUGUGCGGCUACACGAACUGGGGCCCAAUCGGAGGGUGAGAACUGGAGCCCAUACAAUCCGUAGGUGUAACUAAUAUGACAGCUAAGCUACACAACCCAGGUUAAGAUUUCAAAGAUCCAUGUCAAAACCUUGUUCCCUACCCCGACAUGGUAUAUAUACAUAUAUAUAUAUGUGUGUGUUGUAUUAGUUAUAUGCAUUGAUUGAUUGGUUUUGAACUGCUAGCAUUAUAUUAUUCUUAUCCUUGAGUUAUAUGCUAGCACUCCAAUCGCUAAUCGUCUUCGUACGCUGUAUCCUCAAGCGAUGCAGGUGUUGGUCAUACUAUCAUACCUCAUGCUCAGUGACUUGGAUUUGAUGACAACUUGUGUUGACUUGAAAUGGUGAGCUUCCUUACUUCUAAAGGCUCUAUUUAUUACUUUGAGUUUCUUUAUGUCUUUAUUGGUUUAGACUUGGAUAUUGGUUUUUUGGCUACGGUUGGGGGCAUUUCCUGACCGGAUAUUCUUGGUUCGAUUUUGAGGUUUUGUAUGGAUAAACUGUGGACUUGGGUAUGUUAUGGAAUGAAUAUGGAUUUGGUUAUGCUAUGGUUGUUAGUUGCUAUUGGUUGGUUUGAAUUGUUUGGGUUGGUCAUGGUCAUGAACCUAUCCCAAGGUCCUUGAGUUGUAAAUUACUCUAUCUUGUUAUAAUGUCGGAAUUCAUUUAAGUCAUUGUAUAUGUUGGUUGGAUGGAUUGGAUAUCGUGGGUGGUCUUCGGUCCUUGUUAGACUUGAGAUGCCCAUUAUGACAAGGCCCUGAUUCGGGUCGUGUCAAAAGUACAUCGAGUAAGAAAAAUAAUUUGUAAUAAAGUUCGGCAUUACUUUAUUCCAUAUUUGGUAUACGUCAUCAAUGAAUUUCAAAACUGUUUUAUCUCACCAUUUGUACUAAAAUAAUAAGAUUAUUAUACCAUAUGGAGGGCAGUAUAAAGUAAUCACAUGGAAUAUCCAAUGAGUUGAGAUAUCCCUACUUAUUCAAGCCGGUGUACCAAACAACCACUGAAUAUUCUUAGAAUCAAUUGGUAUAUUUGUUUUUCCAUCUUUAUCACAUGAAUUAUAAUGAUGUGUGCAUAUAAGGUGUGACACAAUAUUUUGAGUAGUGGAAAAGUUAAAAAUUACGUUAAGAGUGUUCAUACGUAUCAAAAGUAAUUUGAUCUAUAUACUUCAUAUAAUUUUCUAUAUAUAUACAUAAUAUGAUUCGGUGAAGGGUGUUCAACUGACCACUUGCACGUGGCUACGCUACCCAUGACCAUAUUUGCUGGCAUGUGGAUGGGCAAAAAAUUGAGUCCUUGUGAAGGGGACAAAAUUAUAUGUUCUUAUUUUAUAACGAUAGGAACGACAACUAUCAUUACUGACCAAAAAUACACCAAAUUCUUUUUUAAGUGCUUCAACUGCGGUAUAGAUAGAAGAAGUUUGUACAAAAAAAAUCUUUUGUAUGAGGUUUGAAAUGGUGAGUUGAGGUAGAGUAGAUCGAUAACCAUGUAGUCAUUUGGCUGACUAUUGUAAAUUUCUCUUUUUCUUGCAUGGUAGAUUAUUUAUGGUAAAAAUUUCAUAGGACAAUCUAUUUUGAUCACCUAUUUAAGUAGUACCCAUCUUAUGUAUUUUUUGCACGAAUAUUCAAAUUAGACAAUUUUAGACGAAAUAAUAUAUAUUUUUUUGCUUCACCAUUCAGGCACAUAUGAUUGAAACUUUAGCCAAUUUUAGCAUGUGUUACAGUCAUAGAUGUCUGAGCCUAUACAUAUAUGAAAAAAAUAUUGUUAAAUAAGUUUUUAACUUUGUUGUUGUGUCGACAAAUUGAUGAUUGAUGUUUGUUCCACAUGAUAUAUGGAACUUGUGUUUUAAAUUUAAGUUUAAACAGAGUAGAUUUUGGUGUUUAAAUAUUAAAAAUAUUUUGUAAGAAAAUAAAAAAAUUCAGACAUACAUGGGCCUCAAAUGAGUCUAUUAAUAUAGGUCUAUUUCAUAGUAACUGUUUAAAGUUAUCAAGCUUCAGAUACGAGUAUUUGACUUUUUAUCGAAAGUUGCUAUAAGUUAAAUGACAACAUAAAAAGUGAAUAUUCAUGCACUUUUCCCAUAUUUAUGGCUAGAGUUUGGGAAUCUUAACACCUCAAUUGAUUUUCUAUUUAAAUUUUUAUAUCUUACAAGUUUCUCGACACCUACAUUGUGAUAUGUAUAUUGUUGAACUAUCCGUGUUUAUCGUUGAAUUGAUUAUCUAUGAAUUUUGUUCGUGACACUCUUUAGGACAGAGUUCUUAUUAUUGGUGAAAAUGCCCGGCUAUAAUGUUUUGUUAACUAUUACAAUUUGAUAGGGCCAAUUAAUGUUAGGUACUUACUAGUAGGAAAUGUCGUUGCAGUAUCAGUCAUUGGCAUUAAAAAAUUGUAUUGAGUGAAACCAUUACUGACCAUCAUUAGACAAGCUAUUCACUCUGUUUUAACAAUUUUAGAUUUCAUAUUUCCAAUUUCAGUCAUUCAUUAGUUUACUUGAUUCGCAUUUACAUUAUAUUUCUAUUAGUUGCAAAAUUUGGCCAAUGGACAAGUUGGACGAAGGUAUUGUGUUUUUGGUAACAUGUGUUGUAGAUGUAACGAUCUUUUUAGUUUUUACGUAUGAGCCUCACAUUUAAAAUUUCAUGCAAAAAUUCUUCUCAAAUUUGAAAAGUUAUAAAUUUCAUACUAGGCUAGUUUUAGAUGAAAUUCAAGCAAGGUACGGUCUAGAAAAAUCUGAAAUGAUUAGGAUAGGUAUGAUAGGUUUUGAUUUGAUUCCUAGUUAGGUAAGACGAUAAGAAAUUUGUAGGAUGUUAUGAAAUUAAAGUUGAGUUAGUAUAACUCUCGUAAUUGAUCUUAGCGUAAAGGAUAUUAUUUGGGAUGCCUUGGAAUUAAGACGUGAUGUAAAAAAAAUGGAUUCUAGGCAAAAUCAGGCAUUUUUUUCGCCCAUGUCGCUAUAGUGACGUGUACGUUGCUAUGUCGCUGUAGCGACAUAUCCAAAGGCAAAAAAAAUUCUGCUAUAGCGCCCAGUCAAUGACGCUAUAGCAGUGAAAGUCUCUGUUUUAUUUUAAAAAUCUCUUAAAAAAUUAUUUUUUAAAGCUCAUUUUGGGGUAAGAAAAGGCAAUUUUGAGCGAAAAUCAUCAGCUAAUCAUAGUUUUGCUUCAUUACGGUAAAGAUUCCAUCCUUGUUAACUAUUAAAUCAAUUAUUUAACCUUAGAAUUGCUAAUUUGCAUAGUUCGGGAGGGUUAAAGACUGAUAUUUGUUGGUUUUGUGAUGCAAGGGAGUAAGUUGAGUAUAAAAUCAAUGGAUUUUGGUUAAUUAUUGUUAAUUUAUCGUUGCAUGUCAUUAAUUCACUAAAUCAUCCAUGGAAUAGAUAGUUUUAGGUUAAUUAAGGUAGAAAAUCUCUAGAACAGGGAGAAAAUGAUCAUGAAUUUGGCCUUAGGGGUUGGGUGUGAGUUAUAAUCUUGAACAUGGUAGGGAAUUUUAUUAAUUAAGUAUUUUUAUGUAUUUUGUAGACCAAGAUCAAGCAAAAAUUACACAGACGACUCCAACUUAGUGGAGUUAUGCAAGCUUGGUUCAAGGUACGUGAUAGUAUUGUACUUUAAUCCAAUUUGUACUAUACGUGCAUGUUAACUAUUUCUUAGUAUGGCUUAUUAUUACAUGUUCUUGGUGUGUUUAAUUUAAUGAUUUUAUCUUGUUUCAUGAUUGAACUACCUUAUGGUUAAAAGAGGAAUAUUUUGAUAUUUCGACAUUCUCAGCUUCUGGGUGGAAUAAGGUUGGCAGACACUUAUGUCUGAAGCUUUCGGUGCAUGGAUGAAAUUUGUCUCCUAUAGGUAUGUAUGAGGUUCAAGUGAGUUUGACGGUUCCAUGAGUGAGUCGGGGAAUAUAUUUAUAUGUUGAAUUAUUGCUUAACUUGUCUUGGCUUGCUUUGGCUUGGCUUAACUUACUUUACUUAGUUGAAAAUGAUUUGACUUGUUGCUUGAAAAUCCUAAAUUGCUUAAUUUGGUCCUUGUUUAGCUAGGUAUAGGUUAGAAUGAGCAUGGAUUAACUUGUUGUACUAUGUUUUGGUUAAAUGUUCAUAUUCUUUUUUUGGGAUGGCCAAAUGACCCUGCCAGUAUACUGGUGUUCUUGUGUAUUGAUAAUACACCCGCUCUUACCUUUAUUGAAUGUAGUGCAUAUUUCAGCAGCUCCCGCAAGACCUCAGUUAUGAUUCUAGCGUGUCAUUCAGAUUUCAGGGGUGGUCAGCUUAUUUGGACUACCAUGGAAUCUUUCUUUUAUGACAUUCUCUUUUCUUUUGGACUUAUGCACUUUCCUUUGGUUUUAGGGGUUGCAUUCCCUCCUAGACAUUCAUAGUAUAUUUUGGUACUCUGACUUUCGAAUUAUAGGGUUGUUUUCAUUUUAGUAUUUAUUUCCACAUUUCCUUAAGUUGUAAAUUGGGCAACCUUAAAACUAUUAAUGGGAUAGUUUUCUUCUUCUUUUUGCUAAGUUUUAGUUAAUGAGUAUGGGGUCAUUGAUUCUCCCUUCGGAGAAUGGAGUGGGUGUCACUCACGUCCAAUUUAGUCGUGGAAAAGUUAGUAUCAGAGCCUAGGUUCAUCGAUCUUACUAUAUCAAAAUGGGUCUAGUAGAGUCUAGCAGAAUGGUAUGGAGACAUCUGUACUUUUUUUCGGAAGGCUAUAGGACCUUACAAAAAUUGUCAUUCUUGUUUCUUUCGUAUUGUAACUUGAUUUCAAUUGGUACCAGACAAUCUAAAUUGAUAUCUAAUUUUCUUUACUCUUUAUUCCAUAAAUGGUGACUAUCAGGUCAAACAAAACCUGACCAGAAGCCCACGCACUGGACAUGCUAGUUGUGGAGCCAGCCGUAAGGGGAAGAGGAUGAGAGAGAGAAAGAGGUAAGGAAAAGCUCAAGUAGUUUCUAGCUAGGAUCA
rnacentral:lncRNA from 1 species